rnacentral:lncRNA from 1 species
GGUAGGAUUGUACUAAAGAUCUACUGUAUUUGGUGACUCGUCAGACUCAUGCAUUAUACUAAAAAGCAAAAUAAACAACUAAAAGGAAAUAACAAUAAAUAAUAAAGAUCUACUGUAUUUGGUGACUCGUCAGACUCAUGCAUUAUACUAAAAAGCAAAAUAAACAACUAAAAGGAAAUAACAAUAAAUAAACUAUCUAAAAACAGCAAAGAAAAAGCGAUAAAGGAAAAGCGAGAAAAAAAAACAAUAAAGAGAAGACGAUAGAGUCUCCUCCCACACUUAAAUCGAACAUUG